AUUGAACGCUGGCGGCAGGCCUAACACAUGCAAGUCGAACGAGUGGCGGACGGGUGAGUAAUGUUUGGGAAUCUACCUUAUGGAGGGGGAUAACUACUGGAAACUGUAGCUAAUACCGCAUACCAUAGGAUGAGCCCAAGUGGGAUUAGCUAGUUGGUGGGGUAAAGGCUCACCAAGCCGACGAUCCCUAGCUGGUCUGAGAGGAUGACCAGCCACACUGGGACUGAGACACGGCCCAGAAUCCUACGGGAGGCAGCAGUGGGGAAUAUUGCGCAAUGGGGGCAAGCCUGACGCAGCCAUGCCGCGGGAAUGAAGAAGGCCUUCGGGUUGUAAAGUACUUUCGGUAGCGAGGCGUUAACUACAGAAGAAGCACCGGCUAACUCCGUGCCAGCAGCCGCGGUAAUAC
rnacentral:rRNA from 1 species